AUCUAAUUUUUUUUUUUCAUCACAUCUAAUUAUUUCUCUUCUCCUUCAUCUUCCAUGAAUUUUCUUCGACAUUGUCUAUGGUGGGUUUUCCGACGUUAUUUCCGAUCACCGUCUCUCCUCCAAAUCCUUCUCUUUCUUCAUCGUCAUCUCCAUUUCUUCACAAACAAAUUCUAUAUCUAACUUUGUAUUUGACUCGUCACUUCCAUCGCUUUUAUACACAACACACAAUCAAUCAAUCAUCACCAAAUAAUUCACAAAAACAAAGAGCUUGGAACAGAGAUACAAAGGUAAAGAGAGAAAAAGAAAUAAUUAGUUUACAUGAUUUUAGAAUGGAUUAAACUUUUCAAUUGAAGAAUUUGGGGAUGUAAAUUAUGUUUUUGUAAUUUAGAGAAAGAUCGAAGGGGAGAAAGAGGUGGGAAAAGGAGAAGAAGAGAAGGUGAGAAGGUGAAAUUGGGAUUAGAGUUGCAGGUAACAAUGGAGAAAGAAGAAGAUUUGAGAGACGUGAAGAGAGAGGAGAAUAUUUGAGAAGAGAAGAUUUUUUUUUUCCUGAUAACACAAAAGUUAACCUUGAUAAAUAAAUUAUCAUGAUAAAUAAAUAUAUUAAUGUGUAAAUUAGCGGUAAUAAAUAAAUUAUUAAAAUAAAUAAACAAGCUAAUA
rnacentral:lncRNA from 1 species